GGAAGCUUGGCAGAGUCUGGCUGAUUGCACCGGUCUUGAAAACCGGCAGGGGAUGAAAGUCCUUUCCUGGGUUCGAAUCCCAGCGCUUCCACCA
rnacentral:tRNA from 1 species